rnacentral:rRNA from 1 species
AUUGAACGCUGGCGGCAGGCCUAACACAUGCAAGUCGAGCGGAUGAAGGGAGCUUGCUCCUGGAUUCAGCGGCGGACGGGUGAGUAAUGCCUAGGAAUCUGCCUGGUAGUGGGGGAUAACGUCCGGAAACGGGCGCUAAUACCGCAUACGUCCUGAGGGAGAAAGUGGGGGAUCUUCGGACCUCACGCUAUCAGAUGAGCCUAGGUCGGAUUAGCUAGUUGGUGGGGUAAAGGCCUACCAAGGCGACGAUCCGUAACUGGUCUGAGAGGAUGAUCAGUCAAAUGGGAACGGGAAAAGGGCCCAGACCCCAACGGGGGGCAGCAGGGGGAAAUUUUGGACAAGGGGGGAAAGCCUGAGCCACCCAUGCGGGGGGGGGGAAGAAGGUCUCCGGUUUGUAAAGCAUUUUAAGUGGGGAGGAAGGGCGGUAAGUUAAUACCUUGCUUUUUUGAGGUAACCAACAAAAAAAGCACCGGCAAACUUCGG